rnacentral:lncRNA from 1 species
AUGAAGUUCAGGCGCAUUUGCAAGCAAGUAUGCUUCAUAUUUGCACCCAGUGCCUGGGCUGAAAAAAGGAAACAAACAAUAAAGCUCAGCCUGCUGGGUGUGUGUGGAAGGAGCUGGUUCUCAGAGGGGGAGGAGCUGGCCUACGCAAUUACAUUCUACUUCAGUAUCUUCUCAGGACUUGCUGGAGGGCCACAGCUUUAUCCCCAUUGGUUGAGGAUCUCAUGGAAAGAUAGUCGACUCUACCAGAGGGAAGGCACAGCCAACAGCUGUCACUCGCCCUCGCAGCCUCCAAAUACCGCAAGUGGCCCAGCUCUACCUGGAAGGAUGUAUGUAUGAAUGUGAGUGACUCUGUACUACUGUGGCUAGAGGCAAAAGCCACACCCUGGAGCCUUUUAAUAAACAGAUGACAAGUCCAAACUUUGUCA